GAUGAACGCUGGCGGCGUGCCUAAUACAUGCAAGUCGAGCGAACGGACGAGAAGCUUGCUUCUCUGAUGUUAGCGGCGGACGGGUGAGUAACACGUGGAUAACCUACCUAUAAGACUGGGAUAACUUCGGGAAACCGUAGCUAAUACCGGAUAAUAUUUUGAACCGCAUGGUUCAAAAGUGAAAGACGGUCUUGCUGUCACUUAUAGAUGGAUCCGCGCUGCAUUAGCUAGUUGGUAAGGUAACGGCUUACCAAGGCAACGAUGCAUAGCCGACCUGAGAGGGUGAUCCGCCACACUGGAACUGAGACACGGUCCAGACUCCUACGGGAGGCAGCAGUAGGGAAUCUUCCGCAAUGGGCGAAAGCCUGACGGAGCAACGCCGCGUGAGUGAUGAAGGUCUUCGGAUCGUAAAACUCUGUUAUUAGGGAAGAACAUAUGUGUAAGUAACUGUGCACAUCUUGACGGUACCUAAUCAGAAAGCCACGGCUAACUACGUG
rnacentral:rRNA from 1 species